UACGGAGGGUGCAAGCUUUAAUCGGAAUUACUGGGCGUAAAGCGCACGCAGGUGGCUAAGUCAGUCGAUUGUGAAAGCCCUGGGCUUAACCUGGGAACUGCAUUUGUGACUGCAUGGCUGGAGUGCGGCAGAGGGGGAUGGAAUUCCGCGUGUAGCAGUGAAAUGCGUAGAUAUGCGGAGGAACACCGAUGGCGAAGGCAAUCCCCUGGGCCUGCACUGACGCUCAUGCACGAAAGCGUGGGGAGCAAACAGG
rnacentral:rRNA from 1 species